GGACAACCUUAAAACUGUCCUUUUCUGUCCUAUUUCUAAAAUCCAUGCUAGGUUCAUAAAUAUAAAUUUCAAUAAGGAUUAUUCAGCAAUAAAUCACAUAUAAUAAUGUUGCAGGUACGUGUACUGGCGGGUGUAGCACCGGUCGAACACGUCCAGGACGCAUCACUUUCAUGUUAAUGUUAAAACUAAAGCAAGAAACAAACUCAGUUCAGGAUCUCUUGAGGCCAUCCUAAGAGUCAGAACACACCUACACAGAUCGAGGAAACUGCUACCAAAGUUUUACAGUAAGCAACAAAAUGCUGCCCUAUUCAACAGCAACAUGUACAGAAAGGAAGGUAUUGGAGAAUGUAGUGCAUCAGGAUCUGCUUCUGCUACCACGUCAGCAGUACCUGAUGGCGACGAGGAUAAUGAAGUGGACUCCUAUGAAGAAAUUCUGUCAAUUCAGUAUUGAAACAUGUAAAGUAAAAUUCUGUUCAUAGCUUUGUUUCCCAAAAAUUAUACUCCUGCUGCAUAACUUGUGUUGUUAAUCAUUAACAUAGCCUAUUAUUUUUAAUAAAAUCUGCUGACUGAAGAGUGAGGGGGUGACUGUUAAAGAAAUUUAAAGAAAAAACAUAUAUGUACCAUAUUAAUAAACGAUCAAUAGGCAAAAGGAAAUUAAUAUAUAUGUUUGUCCUUUUCUGUCCUUUUUUCGGGAUGAGUCUGUCCAUUUUCAGCUACACGUCUGGCAACGCUGCCUCUCCCUGCUCUUCCCUCGGCCACUCGCUCGGAGCAUCUUGGCGGGGAUGCUGGGUGUACUUGUGUCUGUUCCUCCCUCCCCACUGCCGCUGGCUCCUCUGAUGGAAGAGAAACCUGACACCUCCAAGCAUCACACGUCUUGCAGUGGGGCGGGGCGAGGAUGAGUAUGGGGCGCAUCAGCUGAUCUGAGGCAUAACCACCAACCAUCACGGGCUUCACACCUGAACACUUGUGAAUAAUGAGUGUUAUAAGGAGAGAGUCUGCCGUGAAAAUAUGAAAAUAAUUUUCAAAAAAUACAAAAAUUGAUUUG